AACGAACGCUGGCGGCAUGCCUAACACAUGCAAGUCGAACGAGACCUUCGGGUCUGCUGGCUCACGGGGGCGUAACGCGUGGGAACCUGCCCUUAGGUUCGGAAUAACUCCCCGACAGGGGUGCUAAUACCGGAUAAUGUCUUCGAACCAAAGAUUUAUCGCCCUUGGAUGGGCCCGCGUUGGAUUAGCUAGUUGGUAGUGUAAAAGCCUACCAAGGCGACGAUCCAUAGCUGGUCUGAGAGGAUGAGCAGCGACACUGGGACUAAGACACGGCCCAGAAUCCUACGGGAGGCAGCAGUGGGGAAUAUUGGAAAAUGGGCGAGAGCCUGAUCCAGCUCUGCCGGGUGAGUCAUGAAGGCGUGAGGGUUGUAAAGCUCUUUUACCCGGGAUGAUAAUGACAGUACCGGGAGAAUAAGCUCCGGCUAACUUCGUG
rnacentral:rRNA from 1 species